UACGAAGGGGGCAAGCGUUGUCCGGAAUCAUUGGGCGUAAAGAGCGUGUAGGCGGCCCGGUAAGUCCGCUGUGAAAGUCCAGGGCUCAACCCUGGGAUGCCGGUGGAUACUGUCGGGCUCGAGUCCGGAAGAGGAGUGUGGAAUUCCUGGUGUAGCGGUGAAAUGCGCAGAUAUCAGGAGGAACACCGGUGGCGAAGGCGGUGCUCUGGGCCGGUACUGACGCUGAGGAGCGAAAGCGUGGGUAGCAAACAGG
rnacentral:rRNA from 1 species